rnacentral:rRNA from 1 species
UUGAACGCUGGCGGCAGGCCUAACACAUGCAAGUCGAGCGGAUGAAGGGAGCUUGCUCCUGGAUUCAGCGGCGGACGGGUGAGUAAUGCCUAGGAAUCUGCCUGGUAGUGGGGGAUAACGUCCGGAAACGGGCGCUAAUACCGCAUACGUCCUGAGGGAGAAAGUGGGGGAUCUUCGGACCUCACGCUAUCAGAUGAGCCUAGGUCGGAUUAGCUAGUUGGUGGGGUAAAGGCCUACCAAGGCGACGAUCCGUAACUGGUCUGAGAGGAUGAUCAGUCACACUGGAACUGAGACACGGUCCAGACUCCUACGGGAGGCAGCAGUGGGGAAUAUUGGACAAUGGGCGAAGGCCUGAUCCAGCCAUGCCGCGUGUGUGAAGAAGGUCUUCGGAUUGUAAAGCACUUUAAGUUGGGAGGAAGGGCAGUAAGUUAAUACCUUGCUGUUUUGACGUUACCAACAGAAUAAGCACCGGCUAACUUCGUG